rnacentral:sRNA from 1 species
CUGCCACCCCUCCCCCCACCCGGGCUCGGCGGGGGAGCGACUCAUGGAGCUGCCGUAAGUUUUACCAACAGACUGCAGUUUCUUCACUGCCAAAAUGACAUCAUUUUCCACCUCUGCCCAGUGUUCAACAUCUGACAGUGCUUGCAGGAUCUCUCCUGGACAAGUCAAUCAGGUACGACCAAAACUGCCACUUUUGAAGAUUUUGCAUGCAGCAGGUGCGCAAGGUGAAAUGUUCACUGUUAAAGAGGUCAUGCACUAUUUAGGUCAGUACAUAAUGGUGAAGCAACUUUAUGAUCAGCAGGAGCAGCAUAUGGUAUAUUGUGGUGGAGAUCUUUUGGGAGAACUACUGGGACGUCAGAGCUUCUCCGUGAAAGACCCAAGCCCUCUCUAUGAUAUGCUAAGAAAGAAUCUUGUCACUUUAGCCACUGCUACUACAGCAAAGUGCAGAGGAAAGUUCCACUUCCAGGAAAAGAACUACAGAAGACGAUAUCCCCACACUGCCUACCUCAGAGCAUAAAUGCAUAAAUUCUAGAGAAGAUGAAGACUUAAUUGAAAAUUUAACCCAAGAUGAGACGUCUAGGCUGGACCUUGGAUUUGAGGAAUGGGAUGUAGCUGGCCUGCCUUGGUGGUUUUUAGGAAACUUGAGAAGCAACUAUACACCUAGAAGUAAUGGCUCAACUGAUUUACAGACAAAUCAGGAUGUGGGUACUGCCAUUGUUUCAGAUACUACAGAUGACUUGUGGUUUUUGAAUGAGUCAGUAUCAGAGCAGUUAGGUGUUGGAAUAAAAGUUGAAGCUGCUGAUACUGAACAAACAAGUGAAGAAGUAGGGAAAGUAAGUGACAAAAAGGUGAUUGAAGUGGGAAAAAAUGAUGACCUGGAGGAC